AUUGAACGCUGGCGGCAGGCCUAACACAUGCACGUCGAGCGGAGCGGCGGACGGGCGAGUAAUGCCGAUGAAUCUGUCUGGCAGUGGGGGAUAACGUCCGGAAACGGGCGCUAAUACCGCAUAUUAUCAGACGAGCCUAGCUCGGAUUAGCUAGUUGGUGGGGUAAAGGCCUACUAAGGUGACGAUCCGUAACUGGUCUGAGAGGAUGAUCAGUCACACUGGAACUGAGACCCGGUCCAGACUCCUACGUGAGGCAGCAGUGGGGAAUAUUGAACAAUGGGCGCAAGCCUGAUCCAGCCAUGCCGCGUGUGUGAAGAAGGUCUUCGGGUUGUAAAGCACUUUAAGUUGGGAGGCGUUACCGACAGAAGAAGCACCGGCUAACUCCGUGCCAGCAGCCGCGGUAAUUC
rnacentral:rRNA from 1 species